GGAAUAUUGGGCAAUGGAGGAAACUCUGACCCAGCAACGCCGCGUGAAUGAUGAAGGUCUUCGGAUUGUAAAGCUCUUUAAGUGGGGACGAAGAAAGUGACUGUACCCACAGAAUAAGACUCGGCUAACUACGUGCCAGCAGCCGCGGUAAUACGUAGGAGGCACGCGUUAUCCGGAAUGACAGGGCGUAAAGGGUGCGUAGGUGGUUUGACAAGUUGGUAGCGUAACUCCGGGGCUCAACCUCGGAUCUACUACCAAAACUGUUGGGCUUGAGUGCAGGAGGGGUGAAUGGAAUUCCUAGUGUAGCGGUGGAAUGCGUAGAUAUUAGGAGGAACACCAGCGGCGAAGGCGAUUCACUGGACUGUAACUGACACUGAGGCACGAAAGCGUGGGGAGCAAACAG
rnacentral:rRNA from 1 species